GGGCAAUUGAUCAGACAAACUCAGACUGGAAUUUCUACUCUGAUGUUCUUUGUAGUCUGCUUGGUCCGCGAACAAUUGAUUAGACAAGCUCAGAUGAGUUAUCAAAAGCUUAACUGCACUUGUAUAAAUUACAUGUGAUAAGAGACUUGCUGCUAACGUCUUGGGAUGAUCUCGUUUGUGGAGCUGAGACUUGGUUUCACACUUUUGGGAAUUCAACACUGGUCUGAGAUGUGUAAGAAUCACGACAAAUGUGGACUGCUGCA
rnacentral:misc_RNA from 1 species